GAGACACCCCUAUGGAGCAGGACUUGCUUCAAUGGGGCUUUGGUACUCACUAAGUCUGCCUCUUGAGUGUGUCGCU
rfam:Myotis lucifugus cont2.5877, whole genome shotgun sequence.